AUUGAACGCUGGCGGCAGGCCUAACACAUGCAAGUCGAGCGAGCGGCGGACGGGUGAGUAAUGUAUGGGGACUGCCCGACAGAGGGGGAUAACUACUGGAAACGGUAGCUAAUACUGCAUACUAUCGGAUAACCCAUAUGGGAUUAGCUAGUUGGUGAGGUAAUGGCUCACCAGGGCGACGAUCCCUAGCUGGUCUGAGAGGAUGAUCAGCCACACUGGGACGGAGAAACGGCCCAGACUCUUACGGAGGCAGAGGUGGGGAAUAUUGCACAAUGGGCGCAAGCCUGAUGCAGCCAUGCCGCGUGUAUGAAGAAGGCCCUAGGGUUGUAAAGUACUUUCAGUCGGGAGGCGUUACCGACAGAAGAAGCACCGGCUAACUCCGUGCCAGCAGCCGCGGUAAUAC
rnacentral:rRNA from 1 species